rnacentral:tRNA from 1 species
GCCCCUGUAGUGUAGGCUGGAUAGCACGUAGGAUUGCGGAUCCUGAGACCUGAGUUCAAAUCUCAGCAGGGGCA